rnacentral:rRNA from 1 species
CCACUUUGUGAUUCAUGACUGGGGUGAAGUCGUAACAAGGUAACCGUAGGGGAACCUGCGGUUGGAUCACCUCCUUACCUUAAAGAAGCGUACUUUGCAGUGCUCACACAGAUUGUCUGAUGAAAAGUAAAUAGCAAGGCGUUUACGCGUUGGGAGUGAGGCUGAAGAGAAUAAGGCCGUUCGCUUUCU